AUGGCAGAUCCUCCAAAGAGAGCUAGAAAACCAUUAUCAGAGGAAUCUAGGAAAAGAAAGAGAGAAUGCGAUAGAGAAAGAGGAAAGAACAGAAUUAAUAUUGGGCCGACUUUUCCUUGCUGGAGAGCUCUUCUAGAAAGAACGGCAUGUACUACAGACUCUGUAGUACAUGCCGUUUUUUUUUUUUUUUUUUUUUUGGCGAUGAUGGCGGCGCACACGGGUGCAGCGGCUCUUAGCUCUCCAGUUUGGUGCUCGUUUUUGUUUUUAUUUCUAUUUUUAUUGUGUAUAUAUGUGUGUAACGCCGCCGUCUCUUACAGUCGCCAGAACCUAAUUGACCUAGGUUUUAAAUACAGUUUGCAUGUUUCUGGCGACAAUCAACGAAUACACAACAUCCUGGAGGAGAUAGCGAGACCGCCGGGGUCAUCGUGGAUGGUCUGUCCGCCCAGCAAGCGCAGAAGGCUACGGAGGGAGAGAAAGCAGAAGAGGGGAUGCCGGUCGGGCUCUGAUGCUAGGCUACGUAAACAAUCACACCGGCCAGCACUUCCAAGCCUUUUCCUGUCGAACGCCAGAUCCAUCACCCACAAACUGGACGAAUUGGAGCUACAUAUAGCAACCACGAGCUUUGCACGUAACUGCAGCAUCAUUCUUAUCACUGAGUCGUGGCUUCACCCGCUGAUUCCCGACGCUGCAGUCGAGUUAGCAGGCCGCACGCUACACCGACACGACAGGAACAGCAACUCAGGCAAAAGCAGAGGAGGGGGGCUAUGCGUUUACGUGCACAAUGAGUGGUGUUGUAACAGCAGAAUCAUUCAUACACACUGUUCUCCUGAUCUGGAGGUUCUGGCUGUUUCGUGCAGACCUUUUUACAUUCCGAGGGAGUUUGCUGUGGUUAUUGUGAUAGCUGUCUAUAUACCACCGGAUGCGGACGUGGGCACGGCUCUCAGCCUCUUGCUUAACACAAUAAACAAACAACAGCUUGCCCACCCUGAUGGGGUUUUUAUUGUCGCUGGCGACUUUAACAAAGCGUGCCUAAAGACUGUGCUUCCUAAAUUUGGCCAGUUUGUAGACUUUGCCACAAGGGGUGAACACACUUUGGACCGGGUCUAUUCUAACAUAAGGCAUGCUUUCAGAGCGACACCCCUCCCCCACCUGGCUGAGUCUGACCACAUUAGCAUUUCCCUCACCCCCACCUACAUUCCUCUGAGGAGAAAAACAAAGCCCCAGACAAGGAAAAUAAAAACCUGGCCAGAAGGAGCCCUCUCUCAACUGCAGGACUGUUUCUCAUCUACUGUAUGGGAUGUAUUUUCCAGCCACGACCUCCAGGAGUACACAGACACUGUACUCUCGUACAUCAGGAACUGUGUUGAUAAUGUCACCGUCAACAAAAGGGUAAGGGUGUUCCCAAAUCAGAAACCCUGGAUGAAUAGCGAAGUGCAAGCCCUCCUGAAAAGUCGCAACACUGCCUUCAAGUCAGGGGACAAGGCUGCGUAUAGGGCGGCCAGGGCAGACCUGAGUAGAGGCAUCAGGAAAGCUAAGGCUGCCUAUAGGAGAAGGAUUGAAGAUCACUUUGCUGACAACGACCCCAGGAGGAUGUGGCAGGGGAUCAAUCACAUUACCAAGCACAGAAGCAAUAACCUGGCGACAUCUAGUACUGACGCCUCGUGUGCUGAGGAUCUCAAUCGUUUCUUCGCCCGUUUUGAGACGUCCAGGCCCUCAGAUGUAACUCCAUCUACUCCCGCCCCCAGCACCGGCACACUAACACUUGUGGAGCAUCAAGUGAGGUGUGUUCUAAGGUCAGUGAAUCCCAGGAAGGCGGCAGGUCCUGAUGGAAUACAUGGAAAGGUGCUCAGGGCAUGUGCUGACGAACUGACCGGAGUCUUCACUAAAAUCUUCAACCUUUCCUUGUCACUAAACACCGUCCCGCCCUGUCUCAAAACCUCCACCAUCAUCCCCGUUGCAAAAAAGUCAGCAGUGGUCAGCCCAAAUGACUACAGGCCUGUUGCACUUACGCCUGUAGUGAUGAAGUGCCUGGAGAGG
rnacentral:lncRNA from 1 species